rnacentral:rRNA from 1 species
AAUCUUGGACAAUUGGGGAAACUCUGAUCCAGCCAUACUGCGUGUAGGAUGAUGGCAUUUGGGUUGUAAAGUACUUUUGGCAGAGAAGAAAAGGUAUCUCCUAAUACGAUAUACUGCUGACGGUAUCUGCAGAUUAUGUACCGGCUAACUAUGUGCCAGCAGCCGCGGUAAUAAGUAGGGUGCAAGCGUUAAUCGGAAUUACUGGGCGUAAAGCGUGUGUAGGCUGUUCCGAAAGAAAGAUUUGAAAUCCCAGGGCUCAACCUUGGAACUGCAUUUUUAACUGUCGAGCUAGAGUAUGUCAGAGGGGUGUAGAAUUCCACGUGUAGCAGUGAAAUGCGUAGAUAUGUGGAGGAAUACCGAUGGCGAAGGCAGCCCCCUGGGAUAAUACUGACACUCAGAAACGAAAGCGUGGGGAGCAAACAG